rnacentral:rRNA from 1 species
UACAGAGGGGGCAAGCGUUGUUCGGAAUUACUGGGCGUAAAGGGCGCGUAGGCGGCCUGCUAAGUCGAACGUGAAAUCCCUGGGCUCAACCCAGGAACUGCGUCCGAUACUGGUUGGCUUGAAUCCGGGAGAGGGAUGUGGAAUUCCCUGUGUAGCGGUGGAAUGCGUAGAGAUGGGGGAGAACACUUGUGGCGAAGGCGGCCAGCUGGACCAGUUCUGACGCUGAGGCGCGAAAGCGUGGGGAGCAAACAGG